rnacentral:sRNA from 1 species
UCGUUUUAAAAUGUUAAAAACAGGAACCUUAGUUGUAAAGAAAUCCAAAUCCGCUAGAUAUAUCAAAGUGUUGAGAAAGCUUCUCCUAGAGAUAAGAGAAAAAAAAAAUGAUUAGAAAAAGGGCUUAAAAGAUUCAUGAAUGCAAAGGGUAGAGUUAAGUUCUUAUAUUGGGAUUGGAGAUGGGAUUACCAUUAGAGCUUCAUUUGAUAUACUCUGGGUAGAUGGGAUCUUAUCUCUGUAUGCAUAGCUUGGGACUUACCUUUACCAUUCUACAAAGCUUAAUCAUUUUUUUUGAGAGAUCCCCUGUUACUGAAGCCUAUUCUGUAAGGGACCAUCUUUGUCUCUUGACCUUUUACCUUAGCCAAAUGAGUUCAUUGAUGAUGCAUUGCUUGAUUCACGCUCCA